AGCGAACGCUGGCGGCAGGCUUAACACAUGCAAGUCGAACGGGCGUGAUCGGAUGUCCUCGCUUGACGGGUGGGCAACCGGUGGAGACAUACGCGUCGAUUCGGCACCACUCUGGGGGACAGGAGCUAAUACCGACUACGACCACCUGGGAAAAGGAUAACUGCCGAGGGAACGGCCCGCGUCUGAUUAGCUAGUUGGUGGGGUAACGGCCUACCAAGGCGACGAUCGGUAGCUGGACUGAGAGGAUGAUCAGCCACACUGGGACUGAGACACGGCCCAGACUCCUACGGGAGGCAGCAGUGGGGAAUAUUGGACAAUGGGCGCAAGCCUGAUCCAGCCAUGCCGCGUGAGUGAUGAAGGCCUUAGGGUUGUAAAGCUCUGUUGUCCGGGACGAUAAUGACGGUACCGGAAGAAUAAGCCCCGGCUAACUUCGUG
rnacentral:rRNA from 1 species